rnacentral:lncRNA from 1 species
AUUUUGCAACUUCAAAACGCUCAUUCUCGAUAUCGCUCCGGAUGAGUAUUACCAAACGUAUCAUCAGAUUGACAAACGCAGGUUACUUAAUUAUACUUCUGAUUUCGAUUCUUGUUUUCUUUUGUUGGUUGUCAAGAGUAGAGUCAUUUUUCUAAGUCUUUUUUAUGGUUACUUGUUGUAGCUCCCAAGCUGGCAGAGGGAAUGACCGGAGGAACGUUUCCAAAUUAGAAUCAAAUCACAAAACCAAAAAUUAAAAAAAAAUCUUAUUUUGUCGGCAAUGUUUUUUAGAUAUUUCAUCUUAUGACAACUAUGUAUUCGGAAAUCUUGCAAAACUGGAUGAUUUAGAUGUGAAAAUAUUCAGCGCUUAAUGAAUUAAAUCCGGUUAACCAGACCAAGCAGAAUUAAAAUGGAAACCGAUAAAUCAGAACAAAACAGAACAUAUCUUUUGGUUUUCAUAUCAAACCAAAUUGAAUUAUAAGAUUUUGCCUUGGAUUUUGGUUUGGUUUCUUAUGCAACUUCCCAAAAGAACUGAUCUGUCCAAACUUAUGAUAUGGCAAAAUAACAUUUUAUUAGUUAUAGCAAACCCAACUUAUUACAUUACGAUCAUCACCAUUCACCAUCAUAACGAUGUGUGGUCUUAUAUAUAGGUUUUGUCGAUCAGAAGAAAUCUUUAAAAGUAGGAAGUUUGAUUUCUCCCUUACUAGAGAUAGGGAUAGUAAAUUCCCCUACAACAGGAAGGUCGAUGGUUAGACCGAUUUGGAGCUCGUAGUCAAUGUCCCAGUCCACACCAACGUCUCGAGCCAGGUUAAACAGUAUACUAUACGGCACCACCACGGGAAUAUCAAGAGCCGUCAUGUCCUUAGCUUUCAGAGAACCCGGGUCCGGUAUCUUCCCCUUUCCAAUCUCCCUGUUUACAAAUAAUUAGAUCUCUGUUGUUUACAAAAUCUAACAAAGAACCAAACGACGGAGUUAGUAGGUUUUACCUGCCGGCGCUGUGGAAAGUGAAACUGAUCUCACAGAUCGGAAUCGAAUGACUGUAAGGAUUGGUGACAGAGACUUUGGCCAAGUACUCAACUGAGUCACGGUUCACGUCUUUGAGGUCAACGUCCGUAACUGAACCCUCCGGUUUAGGGAUCGCGGUGAGUUUAUCCGCCACGAAGUCCUUGGCUUUAUCUAGCAAGCUCGCCAUAAUAACUCUUCUUGUUUAAAUCUCUUUGUUUUUGUUUCGGUGUUUUAGGUUUGUGUGUAUGAUAUGAAGUUUAACUUGGAAUAUAUAUAUAAACGGAUGGGAUUACGAUGUUCUUAUGAAGUCGGUCGAUGUAAAUGGAUUAAAUUUU